rnacentral:lncRNA from 1 species
CGAAAACAUGGAACUCAUCUUCAACCGCUCCACAGUCACAAAGCCUGCAGGUACGCGCGGUGCGCUCACGCCCAUUAGGCCUAUUAACUUCUAACUCCCAACAGCCUAACCGAAAACGCAUGAGCACAUGAUGAAGUCGCUGGGGCAUGGUCCCUUUAGUGUGCUCCAACCAAUCAAGACGCGCACCCCUUGACGGGGCAGCUCCC